rnacentral:rRNA from 1 species
UCCUACGGGAGGCAGCAGUGGGGAAUAUUGCACAAUGGGCGCAAGCCUGAUGCAGCAACGCCGCGUGAGGGACGAAGGCCUUCGGGUUGUAAACCUCUUUUAGUAGGGAAGAAACGACUGGGUUUUCCUGGGAGUGACGGUACCUGCAGAAAAAGCACCGGCUAACUACGUGCCAGCAGCCGCGGUAAUACGUAGGGUGCGAGCGUUGUCCGGAAUUAUUGGGCGUAAAGAGCUCGUAGGCGGUUUGUCGCGUCUGCUGUGAAAACCCGAGGCUCAACCUCGGGCCUGCAGUGGGUACGGGCAGACUAGAGUGCGGUAGGGGAGAUUGAAAUUCCUGGUGUAGCGGUGGAAUGCGCAGAUAUCAGGAGGAACACCAAUGGCGAAGGCAGAUCUCUGGGCCGUAACUGACGCUGAGGAGCGAAAGCAUGGGGAGCGAACAGGAUUAGAUACCCUGGUAGUCCAUGCCGUAAACGUUGGGAACUAGAUGUGGGGACCAUUCCACGGUCUCCGUGUCGCAGCUAACGCAUUAAGUUCCCCGCCCGGGGAGUACGGCCGCAAGGCUAAAACUCAAAGGAAUUGACGGGGGCCCGCACAAGCGGCGGAGCAUGCGGAUUAAUUCGAUGCAUCGCGAAGAACCUUACCAAGGCUUGACAUAUACCGGAAACGGCUGAAACAGUCGCCCCG